rnacentral:misc_RNA from 1 species
UUAUAGCCCCGAUCGCAGCGGUUACCCCGCAACAAGAGAUGGAAAAGCGGCUGUGUGAGGAGUAUGAGCGUAGAGCGGGAAACAGC